rnacentral:rRNA from 1 species
CAGUAGCCGCGGUAAUACGAAGGGGGCUAGCGUUGCUCGGAAUUACUGGGCGUAAAGGGCGCGUAGGCGGACAGUUCAGUCGGGGGUGAAAGCCCGGGGCUCAACCUCGGAAUUGCCUUCGAUACUGGCUGUCUUGAGUAUGAGAGAGGUGUGUGGAAUUUCCGGUGUAGCGGUGAAAUGCGUAGAUAUCGGAAGGAACACCUGUGGCGAAAGCGGCUCACUGGACCAUUUCUGACGCUGAUGCACGAAAGCUAGGGGAGCAAACAGGAUUAGAUACCCCGGUAGUCCCUGUCUCUUAUAC